AGGAUGAACGCUGGCGGCGUGCUUAACACAUGCAAGUCGAACGAUGAAGCCCAGCUUGCUGGGUGGAUUAGUGGCGAACGGGUGAGUAACACGUGAGCAACCUGCCCCUGACUCUGGGAUAAGCGCCGGAAACGGCGUCUAAUACUGGAUACGAACAAGAAUCGCAUGGUUACUUGUUGGAAAGAAUUUUCGGUUGGGGAUGGGCUCGCGGCCUAUCAGCUUGUUGGUGAGGUAAUGGCUCACCAAGGCGUCGACGGGUAGCCGGCCUGAGAGGGUGACCGGCCACACUGGGACUGAGACACGGCCCAGACUCCUACGGGAGGCAGCAGUGGGGAAUAUUGCACAAUGGGCGCAAGCCUGAUGCAGCAACGCCGCGUGAGGGAUGACGGCCUUCGGGUUGUAAACCUCUUUUAGCAGGGAAGAAGCGAGAGUGACGGUACCUGCAGAAAAAGCACCGGCUAACUACGUGCCAGCAGCCGCGGUAAUACGUAGGGUGCAAGCGUUAUCCGGAAUUAUUGGGCGUAAAGAGCUCGUAGGCGGUUUGUCGCGUCUGCUGUGAAAUCUGGGGGCUCAACCCCCAGCCUGCAGUGGGUACGGGCAGACUAGAGUGCGGUAGGGGAGAUUGGAAUUCCUGGUGUAGCGGUGGAAUGCGCAGAUAUCAGGAGGAACACCGAUGGCGAAGGCAGAUCUCUGGGCCGUAACUGACGCUGAGGAGCGAAAGGGUGGGGAGCAAACAGGCUUAGAUACCCUGGUAGUCCACCCCGUAAACGUUGGGAACUAGUUGUGGGGUCCAUUCCACGGAUUCCGUGACGCAGCUAACGCAUUAAGUUCCCCGCCUGGGGAGUACGGCCGCAAGGCUAAAACUCAAAGGAAUUGACGGGGACCCGCACAAGCGGCGGAGCAUGCGGAUUAAUUCGAUGCAACGCGAAGAACCUUACCAAGGCUUGACAUAUACGAGAACGGGCCAGAAAUGGUCAACUCUUUGGACACAUCGUAAACAGGUGGUGCAUGGUUGUCGUCAGCUCGUGUCGUGAGAUGUUGGGUUAAGUCCCGCAACGAGCGCAACCCUCGUUCUAUGUUGCCAGCACGUAAUGGUGGGAACUCAUGGGAUACUGCCGGGGUCAACUCGGAGGAAGGUGGGGAUGACGUCAAGUCAUCAUGCCCCUUAUGUCUUGGGCUUCACGCAUGCUACAAUGGCCGGUACAAUGGGCUGCAAUACCGUGAGGUGGAGCGAAUCCCAAAAAGCCGGUCCCAGUUCGGAUUGAGGUCUGCAACUCGACCUCAUGAAGUCGGAGUCGCUAGUAAUCGCAGAUCAGCAACGCUGCGGUGAAUA
rnacentral:rRNA from 1 species